UUAAGUGGGUUCGCUUGGACUAUG
rnacentral:snRNA from 1 species